AGCUGCGAGACUCCAUGUGCUGCAGCUUGCUGUGGCUGGGGAGCUGGCUGCUAGAGCAGGGUGGCCGUGUGAAUGGGGAACAAGUGUGCCCAAGGAGUCGAAGGCUUUGGCCCCGAUAUCACCCUCAGAAGACUUCCCCAGCCUGGCUUAGGGAUGCUGGUGUCACCUCGCCUGGCAGCCCCCAAAGAAGGAACCAGGUGGACUAAAUGGACAGUGCCCCCCUCUAUCUGAAGCCUGGCAAGGGAGGUACGUGGGUCCCACCAGAAGUUAUAAUGGGCCGACCAGAGAGAGAGACCGGGACGAGCCGAGAGCGUGACAGCAGGGCCUGUGGGGGGAUGGGACAGGAUCCUCCAAUCCGCUCUCCACCUGACACCCACGCCCAGUCGCCCGUGGGCCUGAUCUCGCCCCGCACGUGGCUUGUGUAAUAAAGAGCUCAGCUCA